rnacentral:lncRNA from 1 species
UUGAUAUCCUCAAAGAACAGUGGAGCCCUGCUCUUACCAUUUCUAAGGUUUGAUUUGGAUCCAUGACUUUAGGCUGGUAAUUGUACAGCUUUAUAGGCGAGUGUCAAUAGUAAAUCAACAAUGGAAAAGGAGAACUUCAUCAUAUAAAAUUCAUGCUAAUAUUGUUGCAAUAGUUUAAGAAUAUGGUGAAACUUGCAUUAUUUUGGCAAAUUUAGUGCAACUGCUUUUGGUUAUUAGGCUGCAAAGCAUUAGUGUUACCUUAAAGUUUUUUUUGAAUUAUUUUGCCUUGGAUUUGUUUUUUUUCCCCCCUACAACUAUGAUUUGGUUAAGAGCUCAGACCUCAGGAUAUGAAAAUAUGAUUGCACGAGUUAUAAUCUUUAUCAUCUCUCCUUGAUCCGUGUCAAUUUUUCCAGUUCUCAAAAUUUUUGAAUGCCAUUGUAUGUAAAAUGCUCAAUGAACCUUAGCUGAAUCUGCAUGUCAAACUCCAAGAAGAAGAGAGAUGAGAGGGUUGUGCUGAUACUGAAAUGGGAUUCUAGCUUUGGACUUCUGAAAUUUUCUUCUGGAUAAUUUUCACUUCCAUGCAGCAGAGAAAUUAGGAAUUAUUACUCUAGCUAUGUAACCAUACUUGCCUUAUCAGGUACUGCUCUCCAUUUGCUCAUUGCUGACUGAUCCAAAUCCUGAUGACCCUCUUGUACCGGAGAUUGCCCAUAUGUAUAAGACUGAUCGAGCUAAGUAUGAAGCAACUGCACGCAGCUGGACACAGAAGUAUGCCAUGGGAUGAUAAAUAUUCAGAUACUGUAUAAAUGGGUUGUGUCUAUUUGUAGAAUGUGUUAAAUCCGUUUUAACUUUUGGACUUACUUAUUUGAGGGGGCCGUUUAGGGAAUGAACUUUUCCUCGGUGGAACUGAAACUAUAGUUUGAAGAUUGGCUGGAAAAUAACUGUAUGGUCAGGAUGUUUUGAUGUAGACAAUGUCUGUUGUUUUAAGCUAUUAUUUUCUCUGGUGUUAAAGCUCUUUUUUCACUUGGUGAUUUUGAUCCGAUAGUAAUGUGGCUCUUAUCGUGGGCCUCUGUUUCUCACAUAUGUGCCAUGCCAUAAAGUUUGGACCAUUGUUUUAGCCUCCAAAACACCAUUCGCUUUGAUGAGAGUAUCCAGGCGCUGGUCUCUAUAGCGGACAUCAAUUUUCCUCAGCCGAUGCUGGUACGUAUCUGCUAAUGCUUGAUUUGAGAAAUUUCUUUAAACAAUAUGCACCAUAUCAUAUGUUGGAGUUAAAAUAUAAAUGUAUGUAAUGGAGUUAAAAUAUAAAUGUAUGUAUUAUUUUAGAUGAUAGGUUAAUACUAUUUUUUGCCUACAAAUUUUGGAAUUAUCUAAUUAUUUCAAUAUAAUAUAAUAACACUCAUAAAGCGAUAGUAUAUAAUAAAAAAAAAGCUUGAUGUAUCAAAUCUUUCCAUAAAAAUACGGAUCAAUGGAUCAUUUAAGUAAUUGUUUUUAUUGUGUUAUCUUUUUAAACUUUUUACUAAAAUAAUAUGUAAAAUUUGAAAUUUAAAUUGUAAAUCCUCUUUCAUAGUUAAAUAUUACAAGUUUCAAAAAGAUUUUAUUUCUUAUAUAUAUAUUUUUAAAUUUUUUAUAUGUCCAUUUACAUAAAAAAGUUUUAAAAUUUUUGCUAUUAUAUAAUUUAAGUUAAAAUUUUAAAAAUUGAAAAAAUUAUUUAAAUUUAAAAAUUUUAUUAUAAUUAUAUCUAAAUUUUAAAUUUCAAUUAAAAAAAAAGUGUGUUUUACUCACAUGAAAAUAUGAUAUAAAUUAUUUUAUUAUAUUCAUAUUAUAUAGAUAAAUUUCAUUAUUAUACUCAUAUAUUAUAUAGAUAAAUUCUAUUAGUAUAAAAAAUCUAAAAUUUUUUUAUUAUUUUAUAAUUUAAUUUAAAUUUUAAAAUUUAGUGUAAUUUAAUUGAGAAUUUCUAAAUCUAUUGUUUUUUGUCUCUGUUUGGCCUGAUGCAAUAAAUUAUAACUUUAAUUUUUUAUGUUUACCAUUAAUUUUAACAGAAAUCACAAUAGAUUUUAUAUUUCUUAAUUUCUUAAUUUUUUAAAUAUUUUGCCAAGUGUUGAUCAUAAAAAAAAAAAUCUAUUCAUUAUAAAAAAUCAUGUCAUUGUAAUAAAAAGUGUAAAUUAUAGUCUUAUUGUUUAUAGUGUUAUUAAUAUUUUAUUACUGUUCAAUAAUAUAAAUUAAUAUUUAAAGAUACAAGUAUAUACGUUAUAUUAAUAGCAAAUAUUAUUAAAUCAAAAAAAUUAAAAGAACCAUAAAAGAGUUUAUACGCUUAACAUAUGGGAAAGAAUUAUGAUAAUAAAUUUUUAGAAAUUUAAUAAUAAUAAAAAAAAAUUUAAAAAUUUUAAAUUGAAUUAUAUCAAUUUUAUUUUAAUAGUAUUUAACUGGAUAAUAUAUUAAUAUAAUAAAAUAAUUUACAUCAGUGAACUCUGGUUAAAAUUUUUAAAUUUAAAUAUAAUUAUAAUAAAAUUUAUAAUUUUAUUAAUUUUAUUUUAAAUAAAAAUUAGAAAUUGAGAGUAGAAUAUGAGACUUAUCAUAUUUACUUAAAUGGAUUUACUAUCAAAUUAAAUUUGUGAGUCCAAUUUUAUUAAUUUUUAAAUUUUAAAUUAAAUUAUAAAAUAAAAAAAUAUUAAAAUUUUAUAUAAAUAGCCCAUUUUAUAUAUAAUUAACUUUUUUAUCUAUGUUAAUUUUAAAAAUAUAAAUAUAAAAUUUAGAUUACCCGAUCUGAUUUGAAUUGGACUAAUCGAUUAAAUUAAAUCAACUAAUUGAAUUAGACCAAUUGAUUAAAUUGAAUUAAUAUCUUGAAUUAAACCGAUUGAUCGCAUAAUAUUAUUUACUAAAUCAGUAAAUUAAAUUGAUAUAAUAUUUAAAAUCGGACUGAUAAAUCAUAUUGAUUUAAAAUAUUAAAUUAUAUCAAUCAAUAAGAACAAAACGAUAUUUAAAAUUAGAUCAGCCUAUCAAGAGUGAUUAUAUUGAUUAUUUGAUCGAGUCUAAUUUAUAAUAAAAUGGCUAGAAAUAUUAUAUAUUAUAUGCUGCAUAAGAGACUUAACAUAUAAUUACAUAAUAUAAAAAAUUUAAACUAAAUUAAUUUUAUAAACUAUAUAUUAUAUGUGAGACUUAACUCAUCAUUUAUUUUUGUACCAAAUAUUUUAAAUUAAAUUAACUCUAUAUAUUAUAGAAUGAAAUUACUCGCAUGUACUGAAUGUGAAGCUUAAUAUAUGACUUAUUUUCUAUGUCAUAUAUAAAUUAAAUUAUAUGAUAUGUACUGUAAUAUAUAGAUGAUGUUUAAUCAAUAUUUUUUUACCAAUUAAAAUUUUUGUUCAUAUUUAUUUAUGAAAAUGCUUGAAAUUUACAUUAUUUUGAAAUGUUUGAUGCAUCUUCCUCAAUUCUUUAAGACAGUUAUGUGGAUUUAUAGAGAAAUUGAAAAAAGUAAUAUUGUAAUGCAAGUUUAUUUUAAUUUUAAUUAAAUUUAAUUGUAUGUAGAGAAUAUAAAAUAAUUAUAAUUUUAAUUCAAUUAAAUUAUAUAUGAAGUAAAUAAGAUGAUAUUGUUUUUAAUUUAAUUUAAUCAUAAUAUAUGUAAUAUGAAUUAAUUUUAAUUUAAUUAACCCAGUUUAUGAUUUAUAUAAAGUGAUUUCAAUUUAAUUUAUUUAUUUUAUAAUUAAUAUAAUAUUAAUUAAUUUUAAUUUAAAUUAACUCAUAUAUAGUGAAAAUAUUAUAAAUUGAUUUUAAUUAAUUUGAUUGACUCAUAUGGAUAUAAGAUGAUUUUAAUUUUAAUUUAAUUGAAUUAUUUUAUAAUAAAAUUAUAAUUAAAUUUAUAAUAUAAUAAAUAUAUAAUUUCAUUUAUAUUAUAUUAUAUACACUAAAUAUAUUAUAUAAACAAUUAUUUUUACAUUAUACAGAAAAAUAAUUAUUUUUUAAUUAUUUCUUAUGUUUUAAAAAUGAAAUUUUGACUGUAAAAUUAUAUGGAUAAAAUAACAUUUUAUAUUAAUGAAUCCUUUUGAUCUAUGUUAAAUGUGAAUUUAUUCGGUUACUCAAUUAUGAUUUUAAAUAAAAUAUAAAUUUUUAAUGAAAAUUAAUUAUUUUCCAUUAAAAAAAAUAAUUUUUUUCCUUCAAUUUAAAUAAUUUUGCUGAUUUGUUUUUAUUAGUGUAUAUCUAUAUUGUUAUUUGUAUUCAUAUAAUAACGUCUACAUAAUCGGAAACAGUAGUGGAACAGAUAAGCCCAACAAAUUAAAAUAAGAAAUAAAAAAUUUGGAAAUUGGACAGGACAACUGCUACAUAACCAAUUUCAAUGAAAAAAAGCAAACCCUCUGGCCUCCGCGGCUCAUUUUCUGCAAAAAAGAGGGAAGAAAGGUGCGAGAUCAGUCAGGGAGUGGGAAAUCAGCGGUUCUCGAACUGAAAGUGAGGGGCGUGGCUGUGGAUCUGCUUCAAAGCCGUUUCCCCUUUUUACCUCACUCGUCGCCGUCCGAUAGCAUUUCCCCUUCAAAACCAGAGUUUUUCAUAGUCAGGUGCUCACUUUUUCUCUACUCUCUUUUGUCUUUUGUAUUUGCUUUCUGUUAUUCUCCGUUUGUAGGAUUCUGAGUGUUUGCUCUUAUCUAGUCUCAGAUUUUUUUUUUUUUGCGGGAUUUUAGUUGAUCUGCUUUGCCUUAUACAAAUUAUGUGCUGUGUUUUCAGGUCCCUGGUUGAACCAUCAUGGCUUCCAAGCGUAUUUUGAAGGAACUUAAGGAUUUGCAGAAAGAUCCACCUACUUCUUGCAGUGCAGGUUUGUGUCAGAUGAUUCAUUUCUUAUUGCUGUCGUUAUUGAUUGUUUUAGAUUUCAGUUACCGGUGCUUAUUCUCAACGAUAUUUCAUUACUGAGGGUGUUGCGACGAUUUAGCCCAUGCAUAGUCUAGUUAAAUUUGUAUUGCGUCUAACUUGUUCUACACUUAGCCUGGCUCUGUGACUCGGGUGGUUGUUAUUGGGGAUUGGGAAUUUGCGUGGGAGAUUAUAGCUUCGAGACAUAGUGCUCCCUCUUUGGAAAAGGAAUGUGGGGAAAAAAAAGAAGCUUGAGUUUUGAUUGCUUUCUCUUCAUGCUUUCAUUUUCCUUUGUUAUUAUUUUCCUUUUCUCCUGGCUAAUUGUUUGAUGAUGUAUUGCGACUUUUCAUUUUUUUUUUCUAGUCACUAUUUGUUCUUUAUGGUUGUUUUUAUUGUUCCUUUAUCCGUUAUGUUUGCCAAAUGGCUUUUUUGGGUUUACAAUCAUGAUGGAGUCUUGAAAAGUUCGGAAGUACUAUUCAUUCAAAAUGUACAUAUCUGAUCAAAUAGGAACAUGUGCAGUAAAACAUUAUAUGCUUUUAGCUCAAUUCUUUUUGUUCUUUUGACUUGAUUCUAUCCUGCGAUUGGUUUUUCAGUUCUCCCGCUUCAUCCUAUCUUAUUCUUAUCUCAUAUUUGGUUUAGGAGUUGGAAAAUUAUUCCAACUUUACAAGUGGCUAAUAUAAUUUCAUGGGGUUGCUGGGUGGGACUGGGACCUUGAAUUGUCCUUCCUUGUAUAAUUUGGGUAGGGAUGAGGAUUUUCCACCUAUCCAUCCUCUUUUCAUCCGAUUCAAUAUGUAUAUUACACUGGCUUAUAACUUUAUUUUAGCAUAGUUUUGAGUAAACCAACCUAUGGAUUCAUGAUUAAUUGUAACAGGUCCUGUAGCUGAAGACAUGUUCCACUGGCAGGCAACAAUUAUGGGACCAUCUGAUAGCCCAUAUGCUGGAGGUGUAUUUCUAGUUACUAUCCAUUUUCCACCUGAUUAUCCAUUCAAGCCUCCAAAGGUAACUUUUAUGACUUAGAAAUGUUUCUAUCCAUGUGCCUGAGAGUAGGGUUGGUAGGUUGAUGGAAAUGUGCGCAAAUGUACGAGGCUUUUGUUUUGUGUUUUAUGAAUUUAUUUUGAGGGAUAAUGUUUCUGUUUUCAGGUUGCGUUCAGGACAAAGGUCUUUCACCCAAACAUAAACAGUAAUGGAAGCAUUUGUCUUGAUAUCCUCAAAGAACAGUGGAGCCCUGCUCUUACCAUUUCUAAGGUUUGAUUUAGAUCCAUGACUUUAGGCUGGUAAUUGUACAGCUUUGUAAGCGAGUAUCAAUGGUAAAUCAACAAUGGAAAAGGAAAAGGAGAACUGUCAUCAUAUAAAUUUCGACCUUCUGAGGCCUCUGCCCCACUUCUUAGUGGUGUUUCCCACCUCUUAUCUCUUGUGGCAGCUGUACUCAGAGUGGAGGGAUCAAUCCCUCCUGAACUUGAGAUUCUGGAAUCUUGAGUCUGAGCAUCCUCCUAAGAAUCUCCCAUGCCUUCCUCUAGCACUCUGAUUCCCAAACUGGUAUCCCUUCUCUGAACCUCCAUCUCUACUUCCCUCAUACUAGCUGACAUCCUUCUUGGAGCCAUUCCUUCUCUGCUCACAUCAAAAGACCUUCCAGGGUCCCUUGAUGUUCCCCAUUUGCUGACUCCCCACGACUGCGCUCUUGGCGGAGCUGGGGAAAGGUGCCCAUACCUUUCCUCUCAGAUGGAACUCCAGUUGAUUCCACAGAUCGACGAGUGCCUCGCAUCCUAGCUCCUCUGAAGAACAACACACAAGCAUUCAAACAUUAGCAUCAUACGGUUCAUAUGAAAACACAUGAACCUGCAACACACAUAGCAUACAUAGCAAAGCUAAUAUCAUGGCAAUAGUUUAAUAAUAUGAUGAAACUUAUAUGCCAAAUUUAGUGUGAUUGGUUUUGGGUAUUAGCCUGCAAAGCAUUAGUGUUACCUUAAAGUUUUUUUGUGAAUUAUUUUGCCUUGGAGUUGGUUUUUUUCCCUCCCUGCAAUUAUGAUAUGGUUAAGAGCUCAGACCUCAGGAUAUGAAAAUAUGAUUGCACGAGUUAUAAUCUUUCUCUUCUCUUCUUGAUAUGUGUCAAUUUCUCAAAAAAUUUGAAUGCCAUUGUGCUGAUACUGAAAUGGGAUUCUAGCUUUGAACUUCUGAAAUUUUCUUCUUGAUAAUUUUCACUUCCAUGCAGCUGAGGAAAUUAGGAAUUAUUACUACCAAUGUAACCAUACAUGCCUUGUCAGGUACUGCUCUCCAUUUGCUCAUUGCUGACUGAUCCAAAUCCUGAUGACCCGCUUGUACCGGAGAUUGCCCAUAUGUAUAAGACUGAUCGAGCCAAGUAUGAAGCAACUGCACGCAGCUGGACACAGAAGUAUGCCAUGGGAUGAUAAAUAUUCAGAUACUGUAUAAAUGGGUUGUGUCUAUUUGUGGAACGUGUUGAAUCCGUUUUAACUUUUGGACUUCGUCUGAGAGGGGGGCUGUGUUAGGGAAUGAACUUUUGUUUGGUGGAACUAAAACUAUGGCUUGGAGAUUGGCUGGAAAAUAACUGUAUGGUCAGGAUGUUUUGAUGUAGACAAUGU